CCGCCACCCCUCUCUUCCGCUUGCACGCUCUUGCCCCGCCCGCACCUCCCACAAGGUUUCAUGGCCGCCGCCUGGCCCGCCUAUGGAAACUGGUACCAUCACGCGGCCAAAUCUUUGACGCCACCAUAUGCACAGUCAAGGGGGAGGAAGCAGGUCAACACGACUAAAUUCAUUGCCGCGGGAGCUGCCAAGGGCGUCGGAUCAUCGUCUUCGGCGCCAGGGGCCAGUGACGGUCACGCACGACGGCGUCUCUGCGAUGGCGGAUGACGGUCAAGCCAGCGGGAUGGGAUCGGAGACGACGAGCAGCAGAAACGGUCUUGCUCUGCCCCGCCCCAUCGCGACGCAGGUAUUAAUAUCCUGAAGCGUAUCUUCGCCGCGUGCGCAUCAAAUUCAGUCGGGCGUCGGCGCGCACCGGCCGUAGGCGAUUAACACCAAACUCCACCUGCUCGAGGGAGGACGCAGCCCCACCCCAAGCACUUCAUUCGGAGGAAACGGCAGCCAUGGUCGACGCCAGAGCAACAUCCUCCUCCAGAGGUUCCUCUCGUUCAUCUACGGCCCAUGGCUCCUCGGCUUCGGAUUGGGUAAGGGAUGUAAGGGCGGAGGACGCUUGUCAACCCAAGCGCAUGCACGGUGUCGAGAUCUUCAGGACCAGGGACGCGAGCCGCGCCCGCGCUCAGCCGCCUUGGAGCCUCGUGCGGCGCAUCAUCGUUAUCAGCUGAGGCGCCUGGACAUCCCAACGGCAGCGGGAGGAUCUACGACCUCCUCGUCCUUCUUGGCGCUUCUCUGGUGCUCAACGUAUUGUCAUGCAUGAUGUUUUACAUCAUUGGCAGAAAAGCGAGUCUGGUCCGUCCGGAGAGAAGCAGGACAGGGUGAGCAUUUUUCAGGUCUGUACGUUUACAUGGGUUCUGAUCUGAUGGUUCCAGCCCUGUUACAACAUAUCAUUCUUAUGUUCUGUUGUGCCACGGUGAUUUGUGUGUAACUGAAAUUCAGAAUGAACUCAAGUUGGCAAUGUGCCAGUGCCUGCGAUAUUCUCAGGUUGCACGUUCUCGAAUGCUGAAUGUUUAGUC